rnacentral:pre_miRNA from 2 species
AAUUUCAGGUGAAAAAAAUCAUGAACAUAAAAUUGUAGAACUCAUCAAGACGUACAACUUUUAUUUUGAUCAUUUCUUCAUCCAACAAUGUGAUUAUAACAUUGUUCACAAAAUUUACAUAUCUUAUCUCUUAUAGUUUAUAAAACCAAAUGAGAGAUAUGUAAAUUUUGUGAACAAUGUUACUAUCACUUUGUCGGAUGAAGAAAUGACUGAAAUAAAAGGUAUAGAUCUUGAUGAGUUAUACAACUUUGUUGUUGAUGACUUUUUCAGUUGAAAUC